AAUUUUAUAAUUUUUAGUCGGUACAUUUUAGUUAACGCGUUACACAAUGACUGACAAAUGAAGCAAGACUGGCCACAAGUAGCUGGUUAAUUUUUUGUAAUCUUUCGUAUAAAAUCGAUCUUGAUUAUAUCAUACUCGAACAGGCAGAGAAGUCGGAAACUUGUACGUAUCGCGCGAUUCUACCGAUGCAAGUAUGCAAAUAAUGGAAAGUGAUUUUCACUUACCCCUUCAUUUCCUAGGAACUGUAUAGUAGGGUUUUGGGUGGUC
rnacentral:misc_RNA from 1 species